ACCACCAUGGUUCAGUGGUAGCGCAUCUCCCUUGCAUAAAGAAGGUCCCAGGUUCGAUCCAUGGUGUUUGCA